GCGGCAGGCUUAACACAUGCAAGUCGAGGGGUAACAUUGUGCUUGCACAGAUGACGACCGGCGAACGGGUGCGUAACGCGUAUAGAAUCUACCUCUUACUAAGGGAUAGCCCAGAGAAAUUUGGAUUAAGACCUUAUAGUAUAUAAGACUGGCAUCAGUUUUAUAUUAAAGAUUACGGUAAGAGAUGACUAUGCGUCCUAUUAGCUAGAUGGUGUGGUAACGGCACACCAUGGCAACGAUAGGUAGGGGCCCUGAGAGGGGGAUCCCCCACACUGGUACUGAGACACGGACCAGACUCCUACGGGAGGCAGCAGUGAGGAAUAUUGGACAAUGGAGGCAACUCUGAUCCAGCCAUGCCGCGUGCAGGAUGACUGCCCUAUGGGUUGUAAACUGCUUUUAUACAGGAAGAAACCAUCUCACGUGUGAGAUCUUGACGGUACUGUAAGAAUAAGGAUCGGCUAACUCCGUGCCAGCAGCCGCGGUAAUACGGAGGAUCCAAGCGUUAUCCGGAAUCAUUGGGUUUAAAGGGUCCGUAGGUGGAUAAUUAAGUCAGAGGUGAAAUCCUGCAGCUCAACUGUAGAAUUGCCUUUGAUACUGGUUAUCUUGAGUUAUUAUGAAGUAGUUAGAAUAUGUAGUGUAGCGGUGAAAUGCAUAGAUAUUACAUAGAAU
rnacentral:rRNA from 1 species